rnacentral:lncRNA from 1 species
CGCCCUUGUGACUGAACUAGAUUGAUAUUUUUGAAAUGUCUAUGCCAUACUUAUUCUUCUACCCUUCGUGAACCGAUGAUCUUAUGUUGGAGAAAUAUCAUCUUUCCUGCUUACGAGCAAGGAGGAUAUAUUCAGAACGUAAGCUCCAUUGGGGCAUUUUAUCCCAGUGGUUAUUCGUUCUUCCAAAGAGUUCCUACGAUUUAUACCGGCUCCUCAUUCACUCGCCUAUCAGCAGAUGUGUCAAUUUGCUAUUGUCAGCAAAGUUCUAGACUCAUCUAGAGGGGGGAAAUCAA